ACCCAGCUGGAUAGCCUAGUGGGUAGAGCACGAGACUUGUAGCCUCAGGGUCGUGGGUUAGAGCCCCACAUUGGGCA